UCGCCUUUGGAUGGACCCGCGGCGUAUUAGCUAGUUGGUGAGGUAAUGGCUCACCAAGGCGAUGAUACGUAGCCGAACUGAGAGGUUGAUCGGCCACAUUGGGACUGAGACACGGCCCAAACUCCUACGGGAGGCAGCAGUAGGGAAUCUUCCACAAUGGACGCAAGCCUGAUGGAGCAACGCCGCGUGAGUGAAGAAGGCUUUCGGGUCGUAAAACUCUGUUGUUGGAGAAGAAUGGUCGGCAGAGUAACUGUUGCCGGCGUGACGGUAUCCAACCAGAAAGCCACGGCUAACUACGUGCCAGCAGCCGCGGUAAUACGUAGGUGGCAAGCGUUAUCCGGAUUUAUUGGGCGUAAAGCGAGCGCAGGCGGUUUUUUAAGUCUGAUGUGAAAGCCCUCGGCUUAACCGAGGAAGCGCAUCGGAAACUGGGAAACUUGAGUGCAGAAGAGGACAGUGGAACUCCAUGUGUAGCGGUGAAAUGCGUAGAUAU
rnacentral:rRNA from 1 species